GUUGUUCCUACUUUUGAGCAGUUUUGGGAUGAGAUGAGUGAAGGGUUGAAGAAAUAUGGACUAGUACCUUCUCAGAUUCCAGAGGAACGCUGGUGCAAGCUAGAACCAUUCCUAAAUGUGAUAGCUGGAAAAGUAGCUCUUAGGCAUAUAAGGAACAGGGAAGCACAAGAUGCAUCAGCAGCCACAACAAAACCUACAAGGGAAGACAAAGACUCUUUUUGGCAGUCUCUAGAAGAGGCUGCAGAAGGCUGGCCCACUGUGGAGAUGCUCCAUUUCAUUAAACACCUCCAGGUAUAUGGCACACCUGUGCUGGAGAGUGGUUUGCAUUUUCUACUGGAAGUGCAGAAAUUUAAAAAUGCUCAUCACAACUGGCCUGACAUGACUCUUCUGAAGAAAAAGGUUCUUGUGAUACGUGACUGUUUCCUUGCUUCUCAGGUUGAGCCUCAGCUACAGGUGGCUGUGGAUAAUAAGAGGCUGAGUAGAGCUAUCCGGGCAGCCGAGCAGGCCCUCCAGAAGGAGAUUCCACCUCCAAGUUUAUUUGACAGCCUGAAGGAUUCAGUCUCCAGCAUGCUGAUGCCAUAUUGGGCUGCCUUUCAAAAACACUGGCUCAAGAGAUCUGUGGCCAGUGCACAAAGAGUUCCAGUGCUGAGAAAUCAGCUGCUGCUGCAGAAGAGACAGGCCAGGCUCAAUGAAUUGCCAUGCUCUCUUCGGCUGCCACCACUCCCACAGCCCAAGGAUGGCAAUGGAAGCAAGUUGCAGGAUGGUUUUAUUUACUCUUUCUCCAUCAGUGAAGGACUUAUGGUACAGAAUCCAAACAAAGACAUCCUGAACAUUAGCUCUGCUGUUUUCAGAAGCAUGAGCAAACCCAAUGGGUUUGAGUUUCCUUCACUUCCAGUGUACCAGUGCUGA
rnacentral:lncRNA from 1 species